GACGAACGCUGGCGGCGUGCCUAAUACAUGCAAGUAGGACGCAGUUGCGAACGGGGGAGUAACGCGUAGGUAACUACCUAUUAGAGGGGGAUAACUAUUGGAAACGAUAGCUAAUACCGCAUACUAGUAGAUGGACCUGCGUUGUAUUAGCUAGUAGGUAGGGUAAUGGCCUACCUAGGCAACGAUACAUAGCCGACCUGAGCAGGAGUGCGGCCACACUGGGAGUGUGUCACGGCCAUGACUCCUACGGGGAGCAGCAGUGGGGAAUCUGCGGCAAUGGGGGGAAGCUUGACCGAGCAACGCCGCGUGAGUGAAGAAGGUUUUCGGAUCGUAAAGCUCUGUUGUUAAGGAAGCGGUACUUAACCAGAAACGCACGGCUAACUACGUGGCAGCAGCCGCGGUAAUUC
rnacentral:rRNA from 1 species